rnacentral:rRNA from 1 species
UACAGAGGGUGCGAGCGUUAAUCGGAAUUACUGGGCGUAAAGCGCGCGUAGGCGGCUUUGCAAGUCGGGUGUGAAAUCCCCAGGCUUAACCUGGGAACUGCAUUCGAGACUGCAUUGCUAGAGUAUGGGAGAGGGAAGUGGAAUUUCCGGUGUAGCGGUGAAAUGCGUAGAUAUCGGAAGGAACAUCAGUGGCGAAAGCGACUUCCUGGACCAAUACUGACGCUCAUGUGCGAAGGCGUGGGGAGCAAACAGG